UCACGCAAGCGAGACACGCAAAAAGGAAUCAUCGGCAGGGCAGGCGCGCCUGUCCGCGCUCCGCCACCGCCACGACGCCCUCGCAUCUGCGCAAUCAGAAACCACCUAUGCUCACGCAUCUCCCACCUCGACCCCCGUCCACCGCCCAACCGCCGGCCGCCGGGCCCUGGCUCAUACGCCCGCCACCCACCGCGUCCCAGGGCGGUGUCCCUCGGUGGCUCCCCCGCCCCCGUGCCUCCUGCAGCGCCCUAGCGCGCCCUCCAUCAGCGGCGCCCCCGGCCAGCACGACCUCCCUCGGCGGCGUCCAGCCCGCGAUCCACCGUUGAGCCAGGUAGCACUUCUUUUUCUACUUUUGUUACCAAGUCACAAAACAAUUCUUCAGACCAAUCUGGUCAGGGACAUUGGAAAACUCAAAGAUGGAAAGAUGUUCGUGAAGUUUGUUCUGUGCUUCGGGUUUUAGCAUUACCUGGUUUGAACAGUGGACUUACAUCUUUGGAACAACUUGGAAAUGUCACCCGGAUUGAUUCUUCUCUUAAAAGUCUGGAAUCAUUUGCUUCCAGCUCUCUUACUGGGUAAUAGAAAAAAAUUCUUGCCACAUUUGUGUGUUUACCUUGGUUCUUAAAGUUCAUCCAGAAACACCUUAACAAAUGAACACAGACUGACUGGUACUAAUUAUUUGCAGAUUUCUUAUGCUUAAUGUUGGCACUGCCCUAACUACUUUGAGAAUAUUCAGUUGGACAGAUAGUGAAGCAAUGACUAAAGUAAUACCCUUUUGUGGUCCAUUGAUUCACCUUGCUGUUUCAACAAACGGGGCUGAGCUGAGACAGUUUGUUAGAAAGGAUCUAUUUUCCUCUAUAACAUAGGGCUUAUCUGUUGAGUUGAAUGCCGUUGUUAGUGCAGAGCUUCUUGGACUUUGUCGCGAAAUAUAUCUUAAUCUAUCAGACAAAGAUCCUGCACCCAAUCAGGGGAGCCAUCUUCAUUGGUUGCAAGUAGAUAUAAGAAGACAAUGUUAAAUUUAUGGGCAAACUCAAUCCGUCUUGACAAGGUGCCAAGGUCGUUGAGCUGACCGAUCAACUCUCAAAUCAGUGGGAUGACCAGCUGGUGAGGCAAACUUUUAUCCCGGAAGACACUCAUGUGAUCCUUCGCAUCCCAAUCUGCGAACACUAUGAGGAUUUGAUAGAUGGCAACCUGACAGCAAGGGCAUGUUUUUGGUGACGUUAUCCUAAAGAGUUCACCUUGAUCUGCUACAGAACCAGAAGACCAAGCCACCGGGAGAGUGCUCAUCGUGUAACAUGGGGCAAGACAAUUUAUGUCGUGAUCUCUGGAAAGUGUACUGCCUGCCAAAGAUCCAUCAUUUUUUGUGGCGUUUUGCACACAAUAUUCACCACCUUCCGAGAGAUGUUGAAAGGAUUGGGGUGGUGCUUAACACAGAUUGUGUGCUAUGUCAUAGGCUUCCUGAGGAUGGUGCACACUUGUUUCUAUGCUAUAAGGAAGUCGGGAAAAUGUGGAGAGCUUGCAACUUGGAACAUGUCUGUAGCCAACUGUUGGACUGCCAAACCCCGAAGGAGGUUCUUCUAGCCCUGUUGAAAAUGUCAAAUGAAGUGAAGACGUGAGCUAUUGCUCUUCUAUCGUCCUGGUGGAGUGAGAGAAAGAAAGUGAAUCACAACCAAAAGCACAUGUCUGAGAUGGAAUUUUAAUUUAACAUCGCUAGGUGUGCUCAAUGGAAAGAGUUCCUCGAGGCUAAACCUCCUGGUGUGCAGAAACAUGUUUCUUCCUGGUUGAAACCCCCCACUGAUUUUAUCAAACUAAACGUGGAUGCAGCGUUCCGAGAUGAAUCAAAGGAGGGUGGGUGGGGCCUGAUUGCUAGGGAUGCUGACGGAGAUUGUGCUACUGUCGGACGUCUAACAGCUCAGUCCAGCGCUUUGCAAGCUGAGGCUACAACCCUUCUGCAGGCAAUCCAAUUUGAUGAAAUACAAGGUGUGGGGCGUGCGAUUUUUGAAACCGAUUCCAUGGGUCUGCAACAGUAAGUUACCUCUACAUCACCAGACCGGUCUCCGUUGGGGGUACUCUUCCGUCAAGCCGAAUAUCUACUCCAGUUAGGUUUCACAGAGGCCAAAGUCAUGUACUGUCCGAGAGCUUGUAAUAAACCAACACAUGUGUUGGCGAACCUUGGUAGCCGGAGUGCAUUGGGAGCCAGGUCUUCUGGCCUCCAGACCUCCCGCUGGAUGUAACCUGGGUUGUGACCGCCAA